AAGCGGCGGUGAUAUCUACUACACGGCAUCGUAGCCGGAGAGAGCUGAUGGAUGACUGGCGUGCACAGUGUCAAAACCUAGAGCCAGAAGUUCUUGAGUGUGUUGGAGACGGCACAGGACUCCGUGUGGUGUGGCCUUUGUGGAGUGUGGAGGGGAGAAAUGUGAUGGCGCGUUCCCUGUGGCGUGCUGGCAGGAGGGAUGGGUGACAUGUUCCUGGGACAGAGACUUCGGUGGAGUGAGGACUCCACUCCCCUGUGCUGCCUGCCUCCCCAGAAGACAUUGGGCAGGAGGCACACGUCUUAUCUCCAGAAUCUAAGAUUUCAAAACCCAUGGCUCAGUCUAGAUAUCCGGGCUAAUGCUGUUCAUGAAUUAGUUGCUGGUCUUCACGUUUUAAAUAAAAAUGCAAAAGCUCUCCAA